rnacentral:rRNA from 1 species
GACAAGAAAUAACAAUACGGGGCUUAAUGUCUUGUAAUUGGAAUGAUGGGAAUUUAAACCUCUUCCAGAGUAUCAAUUGGAGGGCAAGUCUGGUGCCAGCAGCCGCGGUAAUUCCAGCUCCAAUAGCGUAUAUUAAAUUUGUUGCAGUUAAAAAGCUCGUAGUUGAAUUUCUGCUGCAUUACAUUUCUCUUGUUUGAGUUUGUUAUUGUGGCUUAUUUCGGAUUGAUUUUUAUCUUUCCGGAUGAUUACUUUGAAAAAAUUAGAGUGCUCAAAGCAGGCUUUUGCCUUGAAUAGUUUAGCAUGGAAUAAUAAAGUAGGACUUUGGUUCUAUUUUGUUGGUUUUAGGUACCAAAGUAAUGGUUAAUAGGAACAGUUGGGGGCAUUCGUAUUUAACUGUCAGAGGUGAAAUUCUUAG